GAAAGUGGUCAGACUGUGUGUGUCCUGAUCCUAUUAACGGGUAUCUUCCAAUAAGUAUUGUCAAUAAGCUAGUGAAUUUAGUUUAUAGUUUAGUGUAGGCGAUACACGCCCCUCCUGCCUCUCCCCAGGACUACCAGGGGGGACUUGGCCUUAGUGCUGCAAAAUAUACGGUGUAUUGCUAGAACUCCAAUUACGCCUCCUGCCUUGCUUGCACUAAACCUGUGUCCUAAUAUCUGUUCAAAUAUAGCCGCAGGUGUCUCUGUGAAAGAGCCCGAGCUAUAGGCUGACGAGUCAUGAAUACUGCCUUAACAACCUACUUUUAGGGAAGAAAAGCACGCCAUCUUGAAUGGUUGCUUUUGUUAUUAUGUGAGUAAAGUUUUUAUUUAUUUUAUUUUUUAUUUGUCUUUAUUCUGCAUUCUGCAUUUAGGAAGCAGUAUGGGUUAACCGUUAACUGCAGCACUGUUUCGUUUGUAAAUUGUAUGUAUGAACGUGUUCAGACUAUGUGUGUGUAAAUUGUAUGGACAUAGUUUUUGUUGUGUUGAUUUAAGUGAUUGCUGUUGAUGUAUUAUGUUGAUGUUUGUGUAUGUUUUCCCCAAUGAAGUAUUUUUCUGUAAAAAAAGUAUGAACAUGGUAGACAUAGAAGGGUGAUGGCUACACUAUACUAUACAUUUAUAGACUAAAUUUACUAGCUUAUCAACCGUUAUUGGAAGAUAUCCUGCACUAAACGAUGGAUAUUUGAACAGUUAGCAAACAAGAGAUGUCUUUUGAUAAUUUGAAGACUCCUCCCAGGUGACAGGAGUUUGGAGGAGGAGUGAAAUUGUGAAGAUUCCUAUUGAUGAGAGGGGUGCAGGCCACAAAGGCCUAGGGCCUCUGCCAACCUGAACGACCUGAACGCGGCGAACAAAGAUAAGCCCCAUGCUUACCCCCUGUACAUGGCAGUAAUUAACAGUGACCUGAACGACCUGAACGAGGUGAACAAGGAUAAGCCCGCCACUUACCCUCGGUGACCUGAACACGGCGAAUAAGGAUAAGCCCACCACAAGAGGCCACCUCCUUCAGCUUCAGCUCCCUUACUCAACCGCCACCAGAGAGAUGACUCCUCCCAGGUGACAGGAGUUUGGAGGAGGAGUGAAAUUGUGAAGAUUCCUAUUGAUGAGAGGGGUGCAGGCCACAAAGGCCUAGGGCCUCUGCCAACCUGAACGACCUGAACGCGGCGAACAAAGAUAAGCCCCAUGCUUACCCCCUGUACAUGGCAGUAAUUAACAGUGACCUGAACGACCUGAACGAGGUGAACAAGGAUAAGCCCGCCACUUACCCUCGGUGACCUGAACACGGCGAAUAAGGAUAAGCCCACCACAAGAGGCCACCUCCUUCAGCUUCAGCUCCCUUACUCAACCGCCACCAGAGAGAUGGUGACAGGAGUUUGGAGGAGGAGUGAAAUUGUGAAGAUUCCUAUUGAUGAGAGGGGUGCAGGCCACAAAGGCCUAGGGCCUCUGCCAACCUGAACGACCUGAACGCGGCGAACAAAGAUAAGCCCCAUGCUUACCCCCUGUACAUGGCAGUAAUUAACAGUGACCUGAACGACCUGAACGAGGUGAACAAGGAUAAGCCCGCCACUUACCCUCGGUGACCUGAACACGGCGAAUAAGGAUAAGCCCACCACAAGAGGCCACCUCCUUCAGCUUCAGCUCCCUUACUCAACCGCCACCAGAGAGAUGGUGACAGGAGUUUGGAGGAGGAGUGAAAUUGUGAAGAUUCCUAUUGAUGAGAGGGGUGCAGGCCACAAAGGCCUAGGGCCUCUGCCAACCUGAACGACCUGAACGCGGCGAACAAAGAUAAGCCCCAUGCUUACCCCCUGUACAUGGCAGUAAUUAACAGUGACCUGAACGACCUGAACGAGGUGAACAAGGAUAAGCCCGCCACUUACCCUCGGUGACCUGAACACGGCGAAUAAGGAUAAGCCCACCACAAGAGGCCACCUCCUUCAGCUUCAGCUCCCUUACUCAACCGCCACCAGAGAGAUGGUGACAGGAGUUUGGAGGAGGAGUGAAAUUGUGAAGAUUCCUAUUGAUGAGAGGGGUGCAGGCCACAAAGGCCUAGGGCCUCUGCCAACCUGAACGACCUGAACGCGGCGAACAAAGAUAAGCCCCAUGCUUACCCCCUGUACAUGGCAGUAAUUAACAGUGACCUGAACGACCUGAACGAGGUGAACAAGGAUAAGCCCGCCACUUACCCUCGGUGACCUGAACACGGCGAAUAAGGAUAAGCCCACCACAAGAGGCCACCUCCUUCAGCUUCAGCUCCCUUACUCAACCGCCACCAGAGAGAUGGUGACAGGAGUUUGGAGGAGGAGUGAAAUUGUGAAGAUUCCUAUUGAUGAGAGGGGUGCAGGCCACAAAGGCCUAGGGCCUCUGCCAACCUGAACGACCUGAACGCGGCGAACAAAGAUAAGCCCCAUGCUUACCCCCUGUACAUGGCAGUAAUUAACAGUGACCUGAACGACCUGAACGAGGUGAACAAGGAUAAGCCCGCCACUUACCCUCGGUGACCUGAACGCGGCCAACAAGGAUAAGUCCACCACAUGCCCUGAGGGGCCACCUCCUUCAGCUCCAGCUCCCAUACUCAACCGCCACCAGAGAGAUGGUAUGUAUGAAAGUGGUCAGACUGUGUGUGUCCUGAUCCUAUUAACGGGUAUCUUCCAAUAAGUAUUGUCAAUAAGCUAGUGAAUUUAGUUUAUAGUUUAGUGUAGGCGAUACACGCCCCUCCUGCCUCUCCCCAGGACUACCAGGGGGGACUUGGCCUUAGUGCUGCAAAAUAUACGGUGUAUUGCUAGAACUCCAAUUACGCCUCCUGCCUUGCUUGCACUAAACCUGUGUCCUAAUAUCUGUUCAAAUAUAGCCGCAGGUGUCUCUGUGAAAGAGCCCGAGCUAUAGGCUGACGAGUCAUGAAUACUGCCUUAACAACCUACUUUUAGGGAAGAAAAGCACGCCAUCUUGAAUGGUUGCUUUUGUUAUUAUGUGAGUAAAGUUUUUAUUUAUUUUAUUUUUUAUUUGUCUUUAUUCUGCAUUCUGCAUUUAGGAAGCAGUAUGGGUUAACCGUUAACUGCAGCACUGUUUCGUUUGUAAAUUGUAUGUAUGAACGUGUUCAGACUAUGUGUGUGUAAAUUGUAUGGACAUAGUUUUUGUUGUGUUGAUUUAAGUGAUUGCUGUUGAUGUAUUAUGUUGAUGUUUGUGUAUGUUUUCCCCAAUGAAGUAUUUUUCUGUAAAAAAAGUAUGAACAUGGUAGACAUAGAAGGGUGAUGGCUACACUAUACUAUACAUUUAUAGACUAAAUUUACUAGCUUAUCAACCGUUAUUGGAAGAUAUCCUGCACUAAACGAUGGAUAUUUGAACAGUUAGCAAACAAGAGAUGUCUUUUGAUAAUUUGAAGACUCCUCCCAGGUGACAGGAGUUUGGAGGAGGAGUGAAAUUGUGAAGAUUCCUAUUGAUGAGAGGGGUGCAGGCCACAAAGGCCUAGGGCCUCUGCCAACCUGAACGACCUGAACGCGGCGAACAAAGAUAAGCCCCAUGCUUACCCCCUGUACAUGGCAGUAAUUAACAGUGACCUGAACGACCUGAACGAGGUGAACAAGGAUAAGCCCGCCACUUACCCUCGGUGACCUGAACACGGCGAAUAAGGAUAAGCCCACCACAAGAGGCCACCUCCUUCAGCUUCAGCUCCCUUACUCAACCGCCACCAGAGAGAUGGUGACAGGAGUUUGGAGGAGGAGUGAAAUUGUGAAGAUUCCUAUUGAUGAGAGGGGUGCAGGCCACAAAGGCCUAGGGCCUCUGCCAACCUGAACGACCUGAACGCGAAC